GAACGCUGGCGGCGUGCUUAACACAUGCAAGUCGAACGAAGAGCGAUGGAAGCUUGCUUCUAUCAAUCUUAGUGGCGAACGGGUGAGUAACGCGUAAUCAACCUGCCCUUCAGAGGGGGACAACAGUUGGAAACGACUGCUAAUACCGCAUACGAUCCAAUCUCGGCAUCGAGGAUGGAUGAAAGGUGGCCUCUAUUUAUAAGCUAUCACUGAAGGAGGGGAUUGCGUCUGAUUAGCUAGUUGGAGGGGUAACGGCCCACCAAGGCGAUGAUCAGUAGCCGGUCUGAGAGGAUGAACGGCCACAUUGGGAC
rnacentral:rRNA from 1 species